CUCCGCAAUUAAAACAGCGUAAUCCCGAACUGAGGAUUGAGUUUUGCUGCUUGACCGAUUUCACUAGGUUUACUAGUUUUAUUUGGAGGAUUUUGAGGAGUGAAAUUACGAAAUUGCGAAGUCGGGUUUGAAUUAUCACGAACAACACUUCGAGCACCCCGAAAGCUUGAGUCAUUAGUACGUCGACUAAAUUGCUUCUCCAACUGCAAGGCUUGUUGGUGUGCCUCUGAAACAGAGUAUGGGUCAAGUAAAUUUAAUUGGUCUUGAAAUUGAGAUCGUAGACCUCUAAUGUAGGGGGAAACCUGUCGUUCUUCUGUCUCUGUCAAGUCAUUGAGUGCCACCAACCAAUGGAAUUCUGUAGUAUAAUCAUCCACUGAUCGAUUACCUUGCUUUAAAUUUUGUAGCUGUCGGUAUAACAGUUUGGCGUAAUUAUGAGGCAAGAAUGCUCCACGCAAGUGCUUCUUGAACUUUUCCCAAGAAUCAAUCUUCUUUUUUCUUUGCCUAAUCCUUGUGAGCUUAGUUUGUUGCCACCAAGCUGCUGCUCUUCCAUGGAAUCGAGUUGCAGCAAGCGAAACUAGUUUAUUUUCAGGAACUUCUUUGUAUUCGAAAACUUCCUCAAUGGCAUUAAUCCAAUCCAAUAAUUCUUCAGGUCGACCACUUCCUUGAAAUUCGGGAAUGUCAAUUCUCAACCCAGAUUCCCAUCUCCUGUCAUCAGUAGACUCAGUUCUAGGUCGACGCCCAGAGAAUGAGUUAACAAAGCUUCCACUUGAUUUCUAUUUUCUAGUAUAUCAAUAAAGUUGGGACUACAAGAGGUGAUGUGGCAUCACUAUUUCUCAUCUUCUUAUAUUCUCUAUUAUCUAACAUAUUAGUUGAGAUUAAAAAAUAAUCACAUUACAAAAUAUUAAAAAUAAAAAAUAAUUAUUAGAUUACAAAAGAUUACACGUCUCUUCCUCUUUCUAUUUAAAUUCAACAAUAUGUAAUCAUUAAUAAUAAUUAAUUAUAAGUUUUGAAACAUUCAUUUAUUUUAUUAUACCAACAAUUAAUUUUUAGUGGCUUAAAAUACAUCAAUUAAUUAAUAUAGAAAGGAAUGUUUCUUCAUCUUCCCUCAACAAUGCCAUUAGGGCCUAAUUUUAAUGUCAUAAUCCUAUAUUUAAUUAUGCAACAUUUUGUUUAGUGCCUUUUGGCUUUUUCAAACUCUAUAAACAUUAAGUAUUUAAGAUUUGUGGCAUCAUUAUUUCUCAUUUUUUAUAUUCUCUAUUAUCUAAUAUAUUGAUUCGCUACAAGAAAAUAGGUAAUAGAUGACGGAAAAUAAUUGUCAUAAAA
rnacentral:lncRNA from 1 species